rnacentral:rRNA from 1 species
UACGAAGGGUGCUAGCGUUGUUCGGAAUUACUGGGCGUAAAGCGCACGUAGGCGGCCUUGUAAGUUGGGGGUGAAAUCCCGGAGCUCAACUCCGGAACUGCCUUCAAGACUGCAAAGCUCGAGGACGGGAGAGGUUAGCGGAAUUCCGAGUGUAGAGGUGAAAUUCGUAGAUAUUCGGAAGAACACCAGUGGCGAAGGCGGCUAACUGGCGCGUUUCUGACGCUGAGGUGCGAAAGCGUGGGGAGCAAACAGG